GCCUCCUCCGUGGGUACUGGCAGUAUGCCUACGAUGGCCAGGAUUACAUCGCCCUGAACGAAGACCUGAAAACGUGGACGACAGCAGACAUAGCAGCUCAGAUUACUGGACAAAAACUGGAACAGAUCCCCAAAGGCACAUGUGACCCAUCACCCGGGAUCUGAAGAUGAUGUCACCCUGAGGUGUUGGGCCCUGGGCUUCUACCCUGCUGACAUCACCCUGACCUGGCAGUUGAAUGGGGAGGAGCUGACCCAGGACAUGGAGCUUGUGGAGACCAGGCCUGCAGGGGAUGGAAUCUUCCAGAAGUGGGCAGCUGUGGUGGUGCCUCUUGGGAAGGAGCAGAAUUACACAUGCCAUGUGCACCAUGAGGGGCUGCCUGAGCCCCUCACCCUGAGAUGGGGUAAGGAGGGUGUGGGUGCAUAACCGGGAUCAGGGAAAACUGGAGCCUUCUGAAGACCCUGAGCUGCUCAGGACUGAGAGCUGGGGUCAUGACCCUCACCUUCAUUUCCUGUACCGGUCCUUCCCAGAGCCUCCUCUAUCCACCGACUCCAACAUGGUGACCAUUGCUGUUCUGGUUGUCCUUGGAACUGUGAUAGUCAUUGUUGCUGUGGUGGCUUUUGUGAUGAAGAGGAGGAGAAACACAGCGUGAAGCCAGCUGCCUGGAGUGGACUAAGUGACAGACAAUGUCUUCACACAUCUCCUGUGACAUCCAGAGCCCUCAGUUUUCUUUAGUCAAGUAUCUGAUGUUCCCUGUGAGCCUAUGGGCUCAAAGUGAAGAACUGUGCAGCCCAGCCUGCCCUGCACACAGAACCCUGUCCCUGCACUGCCCUGGGUUCCCUUCCACAGCCAACCUUGCUGCUCCAGCCAAACACUGGGCGACAUCUGCAUCCUGCCAGCUCCAUGCUGCCCUGAGCUGCAGCUCCUCACUUCCACACUGAGAGUAAGAAUCUGAAUGGGACCUUGAUUCUUAACAUCCUGACCGAG
rnacentral:lncRNA from 1 species